rnacentral:rRNA from 1 species
GACGAACGCUGGCGGCGUGCCUAACACAUGCAAGUCGAACGGAGAUACGAUUUCGGUUGUAUCUUAGUGGCGAACGGGUGAGUAACGCGUGAGCAACCUGACUCUUAGAGGGGGAUAACACUCGGAAACGGGUGCUAAUACCGCAUAAGACCACGACAUGGCAUCAUGACGAGGUCAAAGGAGCAAUCCGCUGAGAGAGGGGCUCGCGUGCCAUUAGAUAGAUGGCGGGGUAACGGCCCACCAUGUCCGCGAUGGGUAGCCGAGCUGAGAGGCUGAUCGGCCACACUGGAACUGAGACACGGUCCAGACUCCUACGGGAGGCAGCAGUGGGGAAUAUUGGGCAAUGGGCGCAAGCCUGACCCAGCAACGCCGCGUGAGGGAAGAAGGCUUUCGGGUUGUAAACCUCUGUCCUUGGUGACGAAAAAAAUGACGGUAGCCAAGGAGGAAGCCCCGGCUAACUACGUGCCAGCAGCCGCCGCUGUAA